rnacentral:misc_RNA from 1 species
ACGCGGGUCUCCUGCGCGGAUUGGCGAUGAAUUUAUACGUAUACGUGCUGUUCUCCGCGGUGUUUCUGAGUGAGUGGAUCGUCACAGGGCUAGGCCUCGGGACGCGUCUGGUGACGUGGGCGCCUGAGAUAAUGUCAGGCGCAACCCUGCUGGUGGUGGGAAUGCGGCUGGCAACCGAUCGCGCCAUCUUAGUACCGCAAAAGUACAUUAUUCUCUUCAGCAUCAUGAUCGUGCUAGUCAUAGUCGGGGUCGUAGCAAAUACCGUGCAGUCAGGAGCGAUCUUCGCUGGUCUGCGCCGGUAUUUUCGCUACGCACCGAUCUUCCUUCUGCCCAUCGUUUAUCAGUUUUCGGACCACCAGUUCAAGCAACAGCUCAAGUUUUUCCUUGUUGUUGCGCUUUUGCAGCUCCCGAUUGCCGUGUAUCAACGUAUGACCCUUUACCCGAUCUAUCGCUCGGGCGACGUCAUAACGGGAACCAUCGGGGGCUCGGGACUUUUGACCAUCUUUCAGGUCUGCGUCAUAGCUAUGCUGACUGCCU